AAGUCGUAACAAGGUCUCCGUUGGUGAACCAGCGGAGGGAUCAUUACCGAGUUUACAACUCCCAAACCCCUGUGAACAUACCUAUCGUUGCUUCGGCGGGAUCGCCCCGGCGCCAUCGCGGCCCGGACCCAGGCGCCCGCCGGAGGACCCAAACUCUUGAAUUUAUGAAGUAUCUUCUGAGUAAACAAGCAAAUAAAUUAAAACUUUCAACAACGGAUCUCUUGGUUCUG
rnacentral:misc_RNA from 1 species